rnacentral:rRNA from 1 species
CCCUUAGAUGUUCGGGGCCGCACGCGCGCUACACUGAUGUGUCCAGUAAGCACCUAACCUCUUCCGAAAGGAACGGGUAACCUUUGCAAAGCACAUCGUGAUGGGGAUAGAUUAUUGCAAUUAUUAGUCUUGAACGAGGAAUUCCUAGUAAGCACAAGUCAUCAGCUUGUGUUGAUUACGUCCCUGCCCUUUGUACACACCGCCCGUCGCUCCUACCGAUUGAAUGUUCCGGUGAGCUCUUCGGACUGCGCGGUCUGCAGUUUCUGCGUUCCGUGCGGAAAGUUGCGCAAACCUUAACAUUUAGAGGAAGGAGAAGUCGUAACA